UUCUUUAAAGGGUCGUGGGAGAUUACCACGUUGAUAGGUCAUAGGUGUAAAGGCAGUAAUGUCAUAGCCGAGUGAUACUAAUAACCCAUAGGCUUAUUGUACGCC
rnacentral:rRNA from 1 species